rnacentral:tRNA from 5 species
GUCCUUAUAGUUCAAUGGAUAGAACGGCUGCCUCCUAAGCGGCAAAUCCAGGUUCGAUUCCUGGUAGGGACACAA